AAAAGAUAUAGUAUUAUCUCUCUCUAAAUUUCUCUGGUUUUAUUUUAUUUCAUAUUAUUCCAUAACACGUUAUGAGCACGAAGUUCUAGCCAACUAGGUUGUUAUGAUGCUGCCAGUGCAAGUAGCGUCAUUUAAUGUUAAUAAUAUGGUAAGAACGGUGACAUGGUAAAAGGUGUACAACGCCAACAUGUAUCUGGCCAUCACGGUUAGCCUUUUCUAAUCAAUUUUUAAGUUUCUUUACACUUUGCUAUUUAUAUUUUUCAUACAUGAACAAAAUUGCUUUACGGAAAAGUUUUUCUUGAAAGUUCAUCAAGUCAUGUAAGGAUUUUUGGUGUAAAAAAAGAACAAUAAAUAUUUUUCCUAUAACAAAUAUUAUGUUCCUAUGUGUUAAUAUUAAGAAACACAAAGUGAAGAUUUUUGAGAGAACAUAUAUUUUUCCUUUCUGUUUUAUCACAUAUCUCUUCCGUCUUAAAAGUGGGUUAAUUAUCACAAAGGACACGUAAAUUUUAGUUGAUUAUGUAUUUUUCUAUAUUUGAUUGAUACUUUCUAUUUCUAUAGAAGACAUUUUUCCUCUUAUCUUAUGUUUAUUGAGCUAGGCUGGGUUGAUACUCUACCUUUGUUUCACAAAGUUUUAUUUUAAUAUUUUUAAAAAAAAAUCAUGUUUUCUCUUAUAUAUUUAACAUUGAUCAGGCAUUUUAAAUUUUAAUUCAAACCAAGGCCACCCUCGUCUCAACCUUGACUAAUAGUCUAAAUUUGUGAAACGGACAAGUAUUUUAACUCUAUAUUUGCUGCCUAUGAGCAGAGCAAAUGCCAAAUGUAUCUUAAGAUCCGCUGUUAGGUGUUUUCCCUCAUUUCUUAUUUUAUUUGGUUUUUCGUUUUUGAAGUAAGGGCAACAUAUUUAUUAUAAUUGAAAUUUUCUUUUUCUAAAAAAAAAUUAUAAAUUUCUCAUAUUUAGCUAGUCCUUUUUUGUGGAGGAAAAUGUUGUGGACUUCUACAAAUUAAGGAUCUUUCCUUGGGCGGAGAAUUUUUAAGACAAGGUUAUCCUACCACUUGUGUAAUGUGGCUCUUUGUGAAGUUAUUCUCUUGAUAUUUUAUAUUUUUUUUUAUACAGUGGAUUGUCUAUCUCCGUCUGUGAAUGUAGGUCAAUUGACCGAACCACAUUAAAUAUUUGUAUCUUUUUUAAUAUACUUCUCUUUUGUAUUUUAAUUUAUCGUCGUUGAAGAUAUAUUUUGUUAGCUUUCGCAUAAGACCUUAUUUUCGAUUCUAACAUCCAACAAGGAAACGAUAAGCUCGAGAAUGGUUAAUAAAACCAGGUAACUUGGUCCAUAUAGACAUGGGAUAUUUUCACGGUUACGAUCAAAUAUGAUGGUAGAUAUUUCAAAAGGGAAGUGAAAGCGAGUCUUGAAAUUUUUUCAAACAUUCUAUACAGUACACUAAUUAAUUGAUCAAUGUUAAAAGAUUGAGGAUUCGGAUAGUGCAAAAUUUAGUCAAAGACGAUGUAAGUUGAUAAUAACAAUAAUUAAAGCAAAAAAAGAAAGUACAAAUGGUUUGAUCAAUAUGACUUACGCCCACAAACAGAAAUAAGCAAAUUACUAUCCAAUAAGAAUAUAAAAGAGAUUAUAAAAUUAAAGCAAACACUCUAAUUAAUCUCAAAUAUCUCAAAAAAAUAAUCUCAUCAUAUUACUCAAAAAAAAAAAGGUUCACCCAAAUAUUUCAAACAUUAACUCUUAAAAUUUAUUCUCAAUAGAUAAAGGAGAAGAGAACGACAAAGAAAGGUGGUGUGAUUCCAUCGUGAAAGAGGCAUCCUAUUUAUAGGAAUUUGUGGCUAAGACGCCAAUAAUGAGAUAAAGUCUUAAUUCUGCCAACAAGAAAGGCUAAAAGAACAAGGCCGCCUUUUACGACCAACGAAAAUGAGUGGAAAUGACAUCAGCUAAGCGUUUAAAAUAUAUUCAUUGUAAUGUAUUUGCUCAAAUUUCAAGACACGUUCUGCCGUUUAAACCUCAAAAUUCAAACUUUAGACAUCGUGUUCAGAAGUUUAAAUUUUACAUCCUGAAUUUUAAAUUAGUAAUACAGAAAUUAAGAAUACUUAAUCCUAAAUUUUAAAUUUGCUGCUAAAAAAUUAAAGACACUAAAUCUUUUAAAUAUCGGGCUAUAAAAUGACUAUUGCGCACUCCGCCCCAAAAAUGACCCCAUGUAAUUCGAGUAUAUUUAUAUGUUAUCCUACGGCUCUUGAUUUGCUUAUAUUUCUCAAGAGUCAAGAGAAGCAAAAGUAAAUAAUAAAAUAUGGUGGCUCAAUACAACGUUGUUGAUGGUGGUUACAGGCUUCGGGUGAUGUUUGGCAUGAUUGUUGCGUCUCUAGCAGUAAUGUCUAUAGUCAUCUUCAAUUGUGGAGAGUCCAGUGAGGACAAGCACAAGUCUCACACUGCUCAUAACGCUAGAACUCAUGGUGCUGCAGCUGCUGCGGGAAUCGCUGCUGCGAACGCCUCCGUGUUAGCUGCUAGCAGCGCCAGCGAUGCGACCGGAGGAGGAGGAGGAGGAGGAGGAGGAGGAGGAGGAGGUGGAGGUGGAUGUUAAACAUCUCAAGGGAGGACGUAUACUAUUUACAUGGUUCACUUGCUUAUGUUUCACUUAAUGUUGUGUUUGUGUCUUCUGUUAUUCUAUGGCUAUGAAUUGCACAUUAAUUUCUGUGUAUCGACUUGCUUUUUAUUCGGGGACCGUUUGAGCUUAGUUCUCGCAGCUGUCUUUUUAGUUGGGAAAUUCUCAUAAUUUCCUUACAGCUUGUUUGGAUGGCUGUUACGUGUUCAUUGUUAUUAAAAUUUUAUUGUAUAAUAUCGUUAAAUUCGUUGUUGUGUAACGAAAAGUGUCACUUUAUGGAACCCCUGAUUUAGUGUGGUCGCGUCGUUUUCUUAUUUUUUUCCCUCUCAUCUUGUCCUUUUUUAUUAUUAAAAAUUAUAUUUUAUCCUUUAACCUACC
rnacentral:lncRNA from 1 species